UACGUAGGGGGCUAGCGUUGUCCGGAAUCAUUGGGCGUAAAGAGCGUGCAGGCGGUCCGGUAAGUCCGCUGUGAAAGUCGGGGGCUCAACCCUCGAAUGCCGGUGGAUACUGUCGGGCUAGAGUGCGGAAGAGGCGAGUGGAAUUCCUGGUGUAGCGGUGAAAUGCGCAGAUAUCAGGAGGAACACCAAUGGCGAAGGCAGCUCGCUGGGACGUGACUGACGCUGAGACGCGAAAGCGUGGGGAGCAAACAGG
rnacentral:rRNA from 1 species